AACGAACGCUGGCGGCAGGCUUAACACAUGCAAGUCGAACGCCCCGCAAGGGGAGUGGCAGACGGGUGAGUAACGCGUGGGAACGUGCCCUUCGCUUCGGAAUAGCCCCGGGAAACUGGGAGUAAUACCGAAUACGCCGUAUUGGGAAAGAUUUAUCGGCGAAGGAUCGGCCCGCGUUAGAUUAGCUAGUUGGCGGUGUAAUGGACCACCAAGGCUACGAUCUAUAGCUGGUCUGAGAGGAUGAUCAGCCACACUGGGACUGAGACACGGCCCAGACUCCUACGGGAGGCAGCAGUGGGGAAUCUUGGACAAUGGGCGCAAGCCUGAUCCAGCCAUGCCGCGUGAGUAAAGAAGGCCUUAGGGUUGUAAAACUCUUUCGCCGGAGAAGAUAAUGACGGUAUCCGGAGAAGAAGCCCCGGCUAACUUCGUGCCAGCCGCCGCAGUAACAC
rnacentral:rRNA from 1 species